ACAACUGAGAGAGUAGAACAAACUACUCUUACUACGCGGUCAAAGUCUUGGGAGGAUUGAUCUAGGCGCGAAUUACGCUGCCACCGGAAACGGGUACAGAUCGGGCGCGAAUUUAAUAGCAAGGCGAAAGCCUUGCUUUUUUUU
rnacentral:sRNA from 1 species